rnacentral:rRNA from 1 species
CCUACGGGAGGCAGCAGUGAGGAAUAUUGGUCAAUGGCCGGGAGGCUGAACCAGCCAAGUCGCGUGAGGGAAGACGGCCCUACGGGUUGUAAACCUCUUUUGUCAGGGAGCAAGGUGCAGGUCGGGACCUGCUGUGAGAGUACCUGAAGAAAAAGCAUCGGCUAACUCCGUGCCAGCAGCCGCGGUAAUACGGAGGAUGCGAGCGUUAUCCGGAUUUAUUGGGUUUAAAGGGUGCGCAGGCGGAGGCACAAGUCAGCGGUAAAAUCGCGGGGCUCAACCCCGCUGCGCCGUUGAAACUGGGUGCCUUGAGUGCGCGAAGGGUAGGCGGAAUGCGUGGUGUAGCGGUGAAAUGCAUAGAUAUCACGCAGAACUCCGAUCGCGAAGGCAGCCUACCGGCGCGCAACUGACGCUGAUGCACGAAAGCGUGGGUAUCGAACAGGAUUAGAUACCCUUGUAGUC